UGUGGUUUCUUGGUCAAUGUGAAG
rnacentral:siRNA from 1 species